AUCGCUUCUCGGCCUUUUGGCUAAGAUCAAGUGUGAAGAUACAUUCUUAAAAAAACAACACCUUUUUAAUAGCAAUUCUGUGUUUAUGUGCAUGCGUAUGUGUGUAUGCGUGUGUGUAUGUGUGUUCACAUGCGCAUUCAUGUAUGUAGACCAGAGGUUGAUGUUGCUCUCUUCCUCAAUGGCUCUGCACCUUAC